CACGUAGGGGGCGAGCGUUGUCCGGAUUUAUUGGGCGUAAAGAGCUCGUAGGCGGCUCAGAAGUCAGGUGUGAAACCUCCAGGCUCAACCUGGAGACGCCACCUGAUACUGCUGUGGCUUGAGUCCGGUAGGGGAGUGUGGAAUUCCUGGUGUAGCGGUGAAAUGCGCAGAUAUCAGGAGGAACACCAGCGGCGAAGGCGGCACUCUGGGCCGGUACUGACGCUGAGGAGCGAAAGCGUGGGUAGCAAACAGG
rnacentral:rRNA from 1 species